rnacentral:rRNA from 1 species
AUUGAACGCUGGCGGCAUGCUUUACACAUGCAAGUCGAACGGUAACAGGCCGCAAGGUGCUGACGAGUGGCGAACAGGUGAGUAAUGCAUCGGAACGUGCCCAGUCGUGGGGGAUAACGCAGCGAAAGCUGCGCUAAUACCGCAUACGAUCUAUGGAUGAAAGCGGGGGACCGUAAGGCCUCGCGCGAUUGGAGCGGCCG